rnacentral:rRNA from 1 species
AGAAUGAACGCUGGCGGCGUGCUUAACACAUGCAAGUCGUGCGCGAAGGAGGCUUCGGUCUCCGGAGAGCGGCGAACGGGUGAGUAACACGUGGGUAAUCUACCUGGGAGCGGGGGAUAACCGUGGGAAACGUCGGGCUAAUACCGCAUACGUUGGUGAGCUUAUGGGCUUGCCAAGAAAGCUGGCCUCUGUUUACAAGCUAGCGUUCCCAGAGGAGCCCGCGGCUGAUUAGCUAGUUGGUGAGGUAACGGCUCACCGAGGCUUCGAUCAGUAGCCGGCCUGAGAGGGUGAACGGCCACACUGGGACUGAGACACGGCCCAGACUCCUACGGGAGGCAGCAGUGGGGAAUAUUGGACAAUGGGCGCAAGCCUGAUCCAGCAACGCCGCGUGGAGGAUGAAGGUCUUCGGAUCGUAAACUCCUGUCAGAGUGGGGCGAAAGGUACGUUGGACAAAUAGUACAACGUGCUUGACGGUACCAUCAGAGAACGCCCCGACUAACUCC